UACGUAGGGGGCAAGCGUUGUCCGGAUUUACUGGGCGUAAAGCGCGUGUAGGCGGAAGCGAAAGUCCGGUGUGAAAGCCCCCCGCUCAACGGGGGAAGGUCGCUGGAAACUGCGCUUCUUGAGGGCGGCAGAGGGAAGUGGAAUUGCUGGUGUAGCGGUGAAAUGCGUAGAGAUCAGCAGGAACACCGGUGGCGAAGGCGACGUCCUGGACCGGCAUUGACGCUGAGGCGCGAAAGCCAGGGGAGCAAACGGG
rnacentral:rRNA from 1 species